ACGAUGAUCACUCGCUCUUGGCGAUAUGCUGUCAGGGGCCAAGCGAAAGCGUUAAGUGAUCCACCUGGGGAGUACGGCCGCAAGGCUGAAACUCAAAGGAAUUGACGGGGGCCCGCACAAGCGGAGGAACAUGUGGUUUAAUUCGAUGAUACGCGAGGAACCUUACCUGGGCUAGAACGGCAUACGAAUUAAGAGGGAAACCUUUUAAGCCUUUACGGCGUAUGUCGAGGUGCUGCAUGGCUGUCGUCAG
rnacentral:rRNA from 1 species